GCAAACUUGGUCAUUUAGAGGAAGUAAAAGUCGUAACAAGGUCUCCGUUGGUGAACCAGCGGAGGGAUCAUUACCGAGUUUACAACUCCCAAACCAUUGUGAAUCUUACCUUUUCGUUGCUUCGGCGGGACUGCCCUGGGCGCCAUCGUGUGCCCCGGACUCAGGCGCCCGCCGGGGAAUCUAAGCUCUGUCGUUUAGUGGUAUUUCUGAGUGGAUUAGCAAAUAAUCAAAACUUUCAACAACGGAUCUCUUGGUUCUGGCAUCGAUGAAGAACGCAGC
rnacentral:misc_RNA from 1 species